AAUCCGUGAACCAGGGUGGCCUGCCACGCUGCCUAGCUGGGAACUCUUGUACUCCCAUCUUGAUGAAUCAAUGGAACUCGUUACUUUAAUCACAAUGAGAGGUGAUAGCCCUGUGAACAAGGGAUAUCCAGGCUGACAAAUGGAACCUGCAGCCAAAACAGGUGAAACCCAGGCCCGUCCCAACCACUGUGCCUCAGGUGAGCAAAGGAGACAUGUUGCUUCAGCACACAAGUCACAGAGUAUGCCGGCCCUGUACACCACUUUCCUAGAGUCACUGAGGAUCCAAAGUCAACUCAGCUCCUGUGCUCAAACCACUCACCCCAGUCGGCCGCAAUACUCACUAUCUGGAAAGCUCAGAUCAUGCCCAGAGCUGGCGAUGAUGGAGUGAAGUGAAGGAGAGCUAUGUCCAAGAACCUCCCAGCUGGAGGGGAGGCAAGGUGGGCAUGGGGAGGGCUGCUGCCGCAUCUGGAGGGAGAGCCCCGGAAGAAAGGCAGCACUGUCGCUGUGGACUCACUCCAUGGCUGGUUUUCACGGAAAUUCUUGUGUACCCUUGAUGCAGCCCGAGAGCAGCUCUGGGAGAUCGUUUUCAGGUGCUUGAUUCUAGGGCCUCAGACAGUUGGUCCAGGCUAUUUUCUUUUAAACCAAUGAAUAAAUAGAUCUAAGCCAC
rnacentral:lncRNA from 1 species